UACAGAGGUCUCAAGCGUUGUCCGGAAUUAUUGGGCGUAAAGAGCUCGUAGGCGGCUUGUCACGUCGACUGUGAAAACCCGGGGCUCAACUCCGGGCCUGCAGUCGAUACGGGCUGGCUUGAGUGCGGCAGGGGAGACUGGAAUUCCUGGUGUAGCGGUGAAAUGCGCAGAUAUCAGGAGGAACACCGGUGGCGAAGGCGGGUCUCUGGACCGAUACUGACGCUGAGGAGCGAAAGCGUGGGGAGCGAACAGG
rnacentral:rRNA from 1 species